UACGUAGGUGGCAAGCGUUAUCCGGAAUUAUUGGGCGUAAAGAGUGAGCAGGCGGUCGUUUAAGUCUGAAGUCAAAUGCUGUGGCUUAACCACAGUUCGCUUUGGAAACUGGAUGACUAGAGUACGAGAGAAGUAAGCGGAAUUCCAUGUGUAGCGGUGAAAUGCGUAGAUAUAUGGAGGAACACCAGUGGCGAAGGCGGCUUACUAGAUCGAUACUGACGCUCAGUCACGAAAGCGUGGGUAGCAAAUAGGAUUAGAUACCCUAGUAGUCCACGCCGUAAACUAUGAGAACUAGGUGUUUGGGAUGACCAAGCGCCGAAGCUAACGCAUUAAGUUCUCCGCCUGGGGAGUACGGUCGCAAGACUGAA
rnacentral:rRNA from 1 species